rnacentral:rRNA from 1 species
AGAGCGAACGCUGGCGGCAGGCUUAACACAUGCAAGUCGAGCGGGCGUAGCAAUACGUCAGCGGCAGACGGGUGAGUAACGCGUGGGAACGUACCUUUGGUUCGGAACAACCCAGGGAAACUUGGGCUAAUACCGGAUAAGCCCUUACGGGGAAAGAUUUAUCGCCGAAAGAUCGGCCCGCGUCUGAUUAGCUAGUUGGUGAGGUAAUGGCUCACCAAGGCGACGAUCAGUAGCUGGUCUGAGAGGAUGAUCAGCCACAUUGGGACUGAGACACGGCCCAAACUCCUACGGGAGGCAGCAGUGGGGAAUAUUGGACAAUGGGCGCAAGCCUGAUCCAGCCAUGCCGCGUGAGUGAUGAAGGCCCUAGGGUUGUAAAGCUCUUUUGUGCGGGAAGAUAAUGACGGUACCGCAAGGAUAAGCCCCGGCUAACUUCGCGCCAGCAGCCGC